GGUAACAGUGAUUGAGUUCUUAAAAACCCGUAAUGAUUCUUGCGGAAAUGAUCGCACAGUUCAAAGAACAUCUAAGGGACUGAGUUGUU
rfam:Triticum aestivum genome assembly, contig: Triticum_aestivum_CS42_TGACv1_scaffold_093224_2AL